rnacentral:rRNA from 1 species
ACGUUAGCGGCGGACGGGUGAGUAACACGUGGGUAACCUACCUAUAAGACUGGGAUAACUCCGGGAAACCGGGGCUAAUACCGGAUAACACAUGAAACCGCAUGGUUUCAUGAUGAAAGACGGUUUUGCUGUCACUUAUAGAUGGACCCGCGGCGUAUUAGCUAGUUGGUAAGGUAACGGCUUACCAAGGCAACGAUACGUAGCCGACCUGAGAGGGUGAUCGGCCACACUGGAACUGAGACACGGUCCAGACUCCUCGGGAGGCAGCAGCG